GCCUGGAGUGGGCGGGGCCUGGGGGCCGGGCCGGGGCGCCCGAUGGGGGCGUGCACUCUCCGCGGGGACACGCGCUCUGGGCCGCGGCAACUCGCUCCAAGUUCCCUCCCUCGCGCUCCGCGAAGCCCGCCCGAGCCCGCCCGAGCCCUCCCCUCCCCUCCUCUCCCCUCGGCGCGGACCUAGCCCUCCGCGGCCUCGCGCCCCGCGCCCCCGGCCCGCCGGCUCGGCUCCCCCCGGCCCCGCGGGGCGGCGCGAGGACUCGGCGGCGGCCCCCUCCCCGCGGGCCCGGGAGCCGACGCCGGCUGGGGCCGCACCUCCGGGACCGGGCAGCGCGGCCGAGAAAUCGCCGGCUGGACAUCCAGAGCACCUAGCCUGUUUUUUUCUGCAUCUUGAAUUGAGCAUUAACAGGACUCUUGAAGUUGCUCCAGGGCCAGUGGUGACCAGAUGAGGACUGGAGUCAAGUGUGCAGAGUCUUGGCGAUUAACAUGGAAACCAAACUGACCCAGGGUUAAGUAAAGGCUUAAUCCAGGAGAAGAACUUGACAGGUGAGGCUACGGGGAAGGCUAUGAACUUGGUGUGCUAGACCAUAGGGAGCUGCCCUCGCUUUGUGACCAGAUGAAUUACUUGCCAGAAUCACUGUUCUUGGCAGAUUAACCUGGAAACUGUAUUAUGGUUAAAGUGGAGAAGCCAGAAGCAGGAAUGAGCCAGGAAGUCAGAAGUGAAUGUUUAUUGAUCAGUGGCAAGGGAGAUUUAGAAAUGAAUUGCGUUCCUUGAGUUACAUUAAUAGUAGUGGCGCUAGUAAAAUAAGCAAGAGUGGGGGAACCUUGAACAUGAUUAAAGAGAAAAUCGGGCUGCUUUGUAUGAUCUGUGAUCACCUGAGUGGAGUUUGGUUCAUUUUAAUGGAGACUAUGGAUAAGUGGUUUUAGGCUGCAUGUCAGGUAAGUAAUCAAUUUGUUAUUAACUUGCUGUUGCAAGUUUAUAAGUUUUGCUUUAAGUGCCUAUACAUUUUUCUUAUCAUCCAAACAGCUUUGCUAACUAGAGGCACGUGGGGUAAAAUGGAUACCCAAUGUGUAUUUUACAUGGAGUUGUAUUUCACGUUUAUAGCAUUUGGCUUUGCCCAUUCACCUACCCCUUGCAAAAAGCAAUACUCCCUUUAAAUGAGAUGGAUAAUGGAUUGUCACAUUUACUACUGUAGUGAUAGGUUGUUCAUUGCUUCUGAAUACCAUACUUCCUUGUUUAAAUCACAUGCUCCUGGUUUUCUCAGUCAGUAUUCAAAGGGAGUUUUUACUUCCUAUUACCUCCAUUCAUUUUUUUGACUGAAGAAUUUUUUUAAGAUUCAAACAAACAAACAAACAUAAAAGCCAUCUCUGAGCCUGGGAACCAGACAGUGAACAGAUCUGUUUUCACAUAAGUAUAGAAAUGCUGGUUUUGGAAAUAUUCACUGUGGAGUUCUUGCCACAUAGUUGGCUGAUAAAACUAUAAAUAAGCUAAAACUACAGAGCUUCAUACCAUGAGAAGAAGAGCAUUUAGCUUCAUCUUCUGUGACUAAAAGACGCAAUGCAACCACAGUAAGAAGAGGACAUGGUAAUUUGCAGGGUAGCGGUGGAACCAGAGACGUUGACAUGCUGAUGGUUUUAAAGCAACCCUACAGAGUAAAUCAUUUAUUCAUGCCAUAAAUAUUUAUUGGUAACCUGCUCUGAGCCUAUUCUUCUAUAGCUGGGGUUAUGGUAGGAAACAAAAACAGUGAGUUCUGCCCUUGAGAGCCUUCUAUUUCCAUGAGAUGGAGCAGAAAUACAGAAGAUAAAUAAUACAUAUUUGAUAUUUGAGUGGUUAAAAGUAGUAUUCAGGAAACUGAAGGCUAGGGGAUAGAUGUGUGUUAUAGGAUGAGGCAGUAGCAUUUUAGAGGGUAUGCUAGGCAGGGCUGGAGGAUGACCCUUUAUUGGGUAGUGAGGCUCACAGAGCAUGGUGAAAGUGGUAUCCUGCUGGAGCUAUUAGAUGAUGUUAUCUAAGACCACAUCUCUGUAGACUGGGGUUAGAGAGUCUCCUGCUGGCUGUGAGAA
rnacentral:lncRNA from 1 species